UUGGAAGCUAAGUCCUGAGCCUCUGUACAUCUUGGAUGGUGAUUACUGUGGCAUCCUGGCUGCUGCAGAUGCAAGCCAAGCAGUCCUGGUCACACUUGGGGAGUACCAGACCCCUUAAACAAAAUGAGUGGCAAGGCUUCAUUCAGCGUCUCUGGCUGUUGGAAGAGACAGAAGAACCAGGGUUUCUUGGCUUCCUAUCCCAGGUGCUACCAUACUGCCCAUAACUAGAGUUCUAGACCUUCUGUAUGGGAUUUUGUAUGUCUAUGAGGUCUCUGAGGCUAUGAGACUUGAUAAGGCACACCAUGCUGCUGGUAGGGCCUGUUUGAUAGUCUGUGCCUGUAACUCCUAGCACGGCCAGAUAAACCAAACUAAAGGUCCUGCAUUCCACUAGAACAAAGUAUCAUUCAGGAUGGAUUUUGGUAGUGUUACCUGAAUGAGACUUAAUGAAACUUUCUUUCCUAAUUGAUACAGAUUUGAUUGAUCGUUUGUGUUGUAGCUCUACAGCCGAUGGGGAAAGGUGACCUGAUACCCACUCCCACCCACACCAACAAGCUUACUGCAGAAAUGAGAUGGAGCAAUGACAAGAGGAAGAUAAAAGAAGCCAACCAAAUGAGCCUCAGAGGCCCACAACAUCCAAAUUGCAAGGGCCAUGGUGAGGCUGCCAACAGGGGACAAAGCAGAGAUGUUCAGAGCUAAGUUCCUGUUCUUGUUGAAGCUCUAUGGUAUUGAGAGCUGCGUGUGGGUUCAGCUACAUUAUGAAAAUAAAGCCAGCUGGGAAAUCUAGGGCUCUAGCUACAAACUUCCCCAGAACAAAGAAUUGUUCAGCUCAUAAAGUAUGGCCAGCACUCAUGAUUUUAUAGCCUAUCUCAUUUGCUUUGCUUCUUAAGAUGCCAGUUCUUGAAGCCAGGUGAUUAUGACAAGGUUUCAUCUUCAAUUUAAAACACAAAGUUUCUGGACCUCAUGGUUGCAGGAAACAAAUGAAAUGCACAGUGCCCAAAGCCUCACAUUUGAUUAGGCCAGUACAAGAGAUCAUACUUUAAACAAACUCACCAUUGUUGAGUAUUUAGAGUUGGUCACGAUAUAAAGAUAAGAGGGAGCUUGGAAAUUCAGAGACCUACCCACAUUUUUUUCUGUAGUUCAAGGCUACUAGUAUCCAGAGCUAUCAUCUGAGUCUUAUUUUAUAUAAACUUUUGUCAGUAGAUCAAAUAGAAGUAAGGAGCAAAAUGCAGAAGUUCCUGGGUGAUGUUUCAUGGCCUCUAUUAUGCAGCAGGUCACUCUGGAGGAUCAGAACAUUCUUUAAAACAUGACUUUAAAAAUCCACGAAUCAAUAAACCUGCACUUGUGAGUUCUCUAUUACCCA